rnacentral:lncRNA from 1 species
AAUAUCUAAUGUAACUAAGCACUAAACUGUAGGAACACUGGAUCAGCCAGCCAAAGUACAUAAGGCAUAAUACUGGAUAAACAGCCAAGCACACGUAUAGACAAUCAACUGUAACUCAUCAGUUAUGAACGUAUGGAAGCCUUCCUACAACUCAAUAAGGUAGGAUCAACUGGAUUCACCAGCCAUGAACAUAAAGAAUACCAAGCUACUGGAUAACCAGCCACACGGGGCUCGCCCGCCACUAACAACCGAUCAACGGUUGCCAACCAAAAACUCGUAUAGUCGUAAGCUAGCGGUGUAUGAGCAAGCGUAAAGUGCUUGUGGUCACCAGACUAGGUGGCGCCGAUACACAAGAAAAGGCUUUUUCACCAAUCUACACGGUCGGGCACUCGGGUCGCCAGUCUUGACCCAAUAUACGUCGGCCACGCGUGUCGCCAGUCUUGACCCAAUAUAUGUCCAUCUCACGGUCACCGUAUCCGAACUCCAAACGACUGGCAGUACGGUCCAAAGACUAACCCAUAAAAACCCUGACUAGCAGACCAACUAUGUAUUAAUAUGAAACAAGAAAUAAUGUCAUCGCUAAUCAAUAUAAGGAUAUAUAACAACAAAUGGGUAUGUAGUAACGACGACAUCAAUAUUGUAGGUACAUACGUAAGACAAGAUAAAUGUCAUCGCCAUCAAUAUACAAGAUCAUAACAAGAGGAAGGAAAGUCAAAAUAACGAUGAUAUCAGCAAUAUAGAAGAGUAUUGAAGUAAAUAGAGAAGGACUAGGCCACUCAUGAGGAGCGGAAGCAGCCGAACACCAUGGGUGACCCUUCCCUCUGUACAAAUGUACAAGAGUGGGGGGUGGUAAAAAGUCCAUAACACCCGCCACUCCCAACUCUGCUCCGCACUCUGUGCAAGCAUCGCCAGCUAUCUCAAAGGCCGGGUCACUGUAAGCCAGAUCAAAGAUAGGAAAGAAUGAGUUUUAUUUAUUGAAUCUGUAUAACCAAGUCAACCAAAAACAAAUGAACCUAUUUACACUAAAACCAUUUACUUAAUUUCUUGAAUAUCAAAAGAAACUCUACUUUUGCCAAAAGAUGGGGAGCACCAUCGUUAAAAAUUUCUUUUUUUCAAAAGCACACCCUUUGUCAAAACUUUUCCAAAAUAACCGAAAGUACUGAGAAUCACGAAGUUUUACUCAAAGGCACACCCUUUAUAAACUUUGACUAUCUACACCUAAAUACCUAUAAACAUUACUUUACUUACAUAUACACUUACCACUUACAUAUGCCAACACCAACAUAAAACAUGAAGACGCUACGGCACGUUUAUAUCCCCUCUGAGACAGGCACACUUAUCAAGUGAGAGAUAUAAACACCACCGAGACCAUAUGGGACCUCCAGUCCUAAAAGUUUUUUUUUUAAACCCGUGAAGGCGAAAUGAAAAUUUGGUUUUUUUUUCCUGGAGCCCCACACUGUGUGUCCCUGAGAAAAGGCUCUUUCUCAUUAACCUCUCGGUUUUCUGGUAAUCUUAACUAUUUCGUCUACAUACACCUGGCUACGUCUGUGGUGGUGAGUUGUUGUUAAUGAUAAAAUAUCAAAAGCACCUACUAAUAUCGGCCUACUGAACCCAAACAAAAUAGUUUUUAUUUAGGCUUCGAAAACUACGAAAAGUCUUUAAAUUUUUAAACCAGCUCUUGCUUAGGCCAAUAAUAUAAUCCUAGGAGGCAUGUCUAGCUCCCUCUCUUAAAUAAAGAUUGUUCAAACUUUUAAAAACAUUCCGAUUACUAUAAGUGUCCAUCAACUGUUGGUCAAUGUGUGGAGUCGUCUUGCCACAACGUUUCGCGUUUUUAGUUUCAAAUCAGCUCUACCGUUUUUCGUACAACUUUCGCUUUUUCGAGGGUUUGUUUAAAACCCGUCUUCGCCAUAGAUGAUGUUGUAUGUAAGAGUUUUCUUCAGGUUAAAAUCACGACCUCUUAUAAUGUGGAAUACUUCGUAUUUGGCCGACCUUUGGCUUCCAUUUUGUGAAAUUUUAAAAACCUAGCCAAAGAAAACAAGUAUAAGAUAGUGUUUUAUCCGUUUUUAACCUACUAUUAUCAGUCUUCACAUAAAAACAACCUAUAUCGUUUUCUUCAUUUCGGAUAGCUAAAAUAUUAGGACGAUGAUUGAGAAAUUAAUAUUCAGCACUACGAUAUAAACUACUUGUUUUUCGAAUCCUAACCUCGCGUUUUCAUAUCCUAUUAGGUGAAGAUUAUAAGCUUUUAUUUUGACAUUGACUCUUAUCUUUGUUGCCACCUUCAUGCUGUUCGUGCCUUUGUUGUGGUGUUCGAAAUGGCGCUUAAAGUGGUCUUUGAAGAGCUCUCUGCUACGGUUCUUUUCAUUCUAGUGAAUCACUUUAUAUGCUUGUCACGUACAUAAGUGUUACACCUCUUAGCGUUUUGUAGCUUUUCCACUCUCUUAGAUUAAUAACCACAUUCCGCUGCUUAUUUCUUUUACACGGUAAUUCUUUUUUAUUAUAGACACUCAAACAAUUUAGCGGAUAUCUAUUUCUUCAAUAACCUAAAUAGUGAUGUUGUUUUUGCCAGGUAUCGCUGUGAAAAUUUAUAGCCAUGUCCAGUUUUCUUCACUACGAACGAUUUAAUGGCUAUGAAAAUUUUUCACAACGAUAUACACCCCAGCGAUCCAUAUAUCACUGUCAAUUACUCACAGCGAUAUUGGAUUUUUCUCACAAUGAUUAAAUAGUUGUGAAUAAAUUUGUAAAUCGUUGGCGAUCUUGAGAUGAAACAACCGACGCCACCGCCUCCUCCUGCUCUCCCUUUCCGAGAAGCAGAUCUUAAAGUCACCUAACUCACUCCUCUCUUACCCUCUAUCAUUAGCUAAAAAAUAAAAAAAAAGAAAAAACAAACAUUAGCCCGACUUACCCGACCUACCCCAUCCAACUCAUCUCAUUGGAAAAUAAAAACCAAACUAAUCCGAAAUAUAAAUCCGUAAUCAUCUAAUAUAAAAUUUCAAAACCGUAUUUAUCCUGUGAAUAUAUUUUCACAGGGUUUGUACACAGGGAUAUUGGAUCAAGACAACGUUACAUACACCUAUAUAUUCUGCUUUUCCUAUAAUUCUCUAAACUUUCUUUAUUCUUUGGUGGCCAACACCAUAUGAUUGGGAUUGCUAAAAAUAAAAACAACAAAAUUAUCACAAACCUGUCCAAUUCAACUACUAGCUUUUUCAUGCUCUUCCCAAGCUCAACUAUGCGAAGCGUUGGCUCCUCGUCUACCAGCUAUAAAAGUGUUUCGGCGAUGAUAACCUCUUUAAGUAUAAAACGGCUCUCUUCUAGCCACGCUUCUUGUAAUCGUAAUACCCCCUCACAAUCUCUAUUACGAUUACUCUAAUUCUAAUCUAAUAAGCUAGAAUAGGUAAUAAUAUAAGCCAAUAAAUUUAAUACCAAUUCUACUUUAGUUUAGUCUCAUCCUAUGAUACAUUAAUCAAUAUUUAUCUAUCCGGCCCUAAUAAACCAAUCGCUUCGGCCAUAAUUAAUUCAACUUCGGCUCGGCCCGCGAUUAAUUAAAAACGUUCAACAUACCUGCGUAGGACCACUGAAAAGAAGUUAUAACAAUCAAAACAAAACGAAGGUGUUGUUGUAUGGUUUAAGAAACUAAGCAGAAGAAGAAGAGAAUAGAAAAGAUAAAAUGAAAAACAUCUCUAAAGAUAUAUAGUAUUGUUCAUAUAUCUUGCAUAAACAACCUCCGGGUGACGGCAUUGUCCUAAAUGAAUACAACAGCAUAAUACGAAAAAAUGUCAUCUCUUCCAAAAUAGUUUUUUCUUUUUAGUUAAAGUUAGAAAACAAUACUUAAGGGCUGUGUAGAUGAACGUAACAGAUAUGACAAAUAUUGGGUUGUAACAGGUAACUUUUCUAAACCGUUUCUUUCGUACGAAGAGAUUUUUUCCGAUUCAGUUUUAGUACCUAAAAUAGUUUUUCGUGUUAUACUUUCUAUUCACGGUUUCUACUUCACUACAACUAUUAAGGACCAUUGUCAGUCUACAGUAUAAAGGUUAUUAGAGUUCUCAAAUAAAAAUUAUUCUCAGGGUAUUCUAAUCCUUAUAAGUGAAACCAACGUAUUAUAAGAAAGCUAACACCUGGUGAUCUAGGUGGUAGGUAGUAUAUUUUACGUGUUUAUAGUUGUGUCAUACUUAAGACCUAAGUUACUAGAGUACUAUGCUUAUCAAAAGCAAUUUUUAAAUAAGAGGUCUUUUCCAGAAGGAAACCUAUUUCAAAUCUAUUUAUGAUAAUCCCUUCUUUUUGUUCGUGUAUCCGUGUAAUAAAAUCAUAAAUCGGAGAAUAAAAAGAGAAAAUUCCAACCCUCAGUACAAGUGUUAAAAGACCUAACUUCCGAUCGACAUUAACGUUGUGUAGUUUUCAUUUAGCUCAUAAACAAACAACCAUGCGGGGUUCUUAACAGUUUCAGAGGUCGCCGUCGUAACGUUUCGUUUUAUAAGGGAAGACAACUUGUUACACCUUGUUCGAGACGGUACGAUAUGAGUAGAGCCGGGGAACGUUUACUUUACAGUAUGAACCGUAAUUCGAGACUAUUACACCGACCUUUUCGGUUGUUUCAAAUUCACUCUAAGGUAUAAAACAACCCAGGUGAAGUUGUUUUAAGGAUACCGCCUUUAUUCGGGAUUCUUGAAAGAAGUGGGAAAGCUUUCGACCCCAAUAGUUAGCUCUCUGACGACGGGGUCUCAGGUGUUACUUGGGUGGACUGGGUAAGCCGAAAGCCCGUUUGUAAGGACCGAGUUUAGAUUCAGCAAACCAUGGUUGUGACUACAGUAAAUUCUAUUAUAUCAUCUUCGUGUGUGGAACCGAACCAUGAUAUCCACACCAAACCUGACCUGGAGAAACGUGUUACAGUAGAGGCUUAGCAUUUUUCGAGUAUGAACAACUUGGAGAGUUCCCUUCUGUCAUACUCUUCGCUGGGACUGAUGGUACUAAUUACUCAACGUAACGUUUACUAAGGGACUUGUUUGGAUUACUUUAAUAAGGACUACCUAUUGGUACCGAUCCAUGUUGAUCAACCGAUAGUACGCUCGUCGGUUUCUGCUCGGGGAGUUAUUUGAGUCCCAUCAGUGAUACCGAUCUUGCCUUCGGCUUCCACAGAAAGCUCUCACACGGAAAACACAUCCUCGGUAGCUAUAUCGGUUGAACCAUCACCGUUGCCAACAAAUACGUUACCAUUAAGGGAACGCCCGUCCCCAAAACCACCCUCGUUCUCUACAGUUAUUUCCUUCCCCUAACCACUCCCAGUUUCAUUCCUAGUAAAACACCCAUCGUUAAAUAUGUACCGAACGUAACCCAGGUUCAUUCUAUUGAUGGACACNAAAAUAAUAUUGCCACUUAUUUUCUUAUCAUAUUUAGUGGCAUCCAUCUCGUAAAGUUUAUCUAAAUAAGAAUAAUUUUUGGGUGUAAAUACCAACAGUAUUUUAGUGAAUAUUGAAAAGUCUCAUCAGAGUUUAGGUAUACACACCAAAUAGGGUUUUAGGUGUACAUGCAAAUCAUAUGGCGCUGAUCAAUAUGUCUUUCUCCAAAUAAUGUAAUUUUGAGCAAAUUUUAUGCUAUUGGAAAAAAAAAAACUCUGCAUUAAAUUAAUUCACAGUUCCCAAAUGGGUCCUAAACUUUUUUACUGAGACCACUAGGAUUACUUUUCAUUGACUUUGACGCAUGUAGUUUUGACCUCCAAAAGUAACAAUUAAACCAUUUAAAUAUUAUCUACACAUAAUGUUGUUUGUUGAGAAGCCAUUAUGUAGUGGGAAUCUACAAUUGUCUUUUCUGCACCUAAUGCAGUGGGAAUCUACAAUUGUCUUUUCUGCACAACAUCUUAUGGAUUCUCUCUAUCUAUUUGGUUGCCUAUCUUUUCUAUAUUUAUCUAGUUUUUUCUUAUAUAUACAUAUAUACUUACACACACAUAUACAUACAUACACACACAUAUACAUACAUAUAUAUAUAUAUAUAUAUAUAUAGAGAGAGAGAGAGAGAGAGAGAGAAUGAGGCUACGAUGCUUUUAAAAGUAAGGGGGCUUUUGUGCUUUUGCUUCUUUUCUUUUUUUUUUGACGAUGCGACAUCCAAAUCAAUGAUUCGCUUCGUUAACUUAAUCUACACUAUUUGAAAUAUCUAGAUGUCAUGUUUCAUGAUUUUUUAUUUCAUUUAUCCAGUGAUCAAAAAGUCUCAAAAAUUAAUUAUUUGAAUAGUAAUAUGAAGUAAUUGCAAGUUUAAAGAUACAGAAAUAUUCAAAUUGAAUAAAAUUUUGAAAUAAUAACUUUUUUACUCUUAAAGUAAGAUCUUCGAUCUAAAAUUUAAAGAUAUAGAAAUAUUCAAAUUGAAUGAAAUUUUGAAAUAAUAAUUUUUUUACCCUUAAAGUAAGAUCUUCGAUCUAAAAUUUAAGUCCUCUAUAUCACCUCUUUUUAUGAGAUUUUUAUUUCUAGCAGUUUAUUUUGGGACCACUCAAUCAUAAGUUAAAUGAGAUCAAAAAAACCAUGAAACCUGAUUUCUCAAUACUUCAAAUAGUGUAGAUCAAGUCAAAUAGAGUGGAUCAUCGAUUCCAAUAUCUCAUUAUAAAAAAAAAAAGCACGGAGGCCCUAUGCUUUAGAAAGCAAACGGAGCCUCACUCUAUAUAUAAACAUACACGCACACAUACAUACAUACAUACAUACAUAUACAUACAUACAUAUACAUACAUACAUACAUAUACAUACAUACAUACAUAUACAUACAUAUACAUACAUACAUACAUAUACAUACAUACAUACAUAUACAUACAUACAUACAUAUACAUAUAUAUAUAUAUAUACAUAUAUAUAUAUAUAUAUAUAUAUAUAUAUAUAUAUAUAUAUCUUACCCACAUUGUUAUUCUAAACUCACAAAAUAUCCAUCAUGGCCAAAACCAUCUAUUCACAUUUUAUCUUUCUUCUUUCAAUAUCUAUCCUACUCUUCUUCUCUGAAACUACUGGAGGAUUGAAAAGAUCCUUAAGCUUUGAGCUCAUCUAUCGUUACUCACCUCGUUCCCCUAUUUACUACUCUAACCUUACUGAUUCACAACGCUUUGAAGACUCCCUCCUCCAUUUUGAGAAUCGAUUCCUCCAACUAAACAACUCUCAAGCAAUGUCAGUUGGUUAUGAAAUAACUGCUAUUCGCCCCCGUAUCAUUUUCUAUGGGUCAUUAUACAUGGUUUUUUUGACGAUUGGCACUGGCAAUGGUACUAUUGGCUACUACUUAAGCAUUGACACAGGUAGUUAUCUUACUUGGACCCAAUGCAAGCCAUGUAUAAAUUGCUACCCACAAAAUGAUCCUUACUUUGACCCUCACCAAUCCCCUUCCUUUAUUGACAUCUCUUGCUCCCACCAAAACCCCUGCCCGCAAGGGAAUUACCAUUGCAUAAACAACCGUUGCCACUACCAAGUUGGCUAUAUCGAUGGCUCCUACACAAAAGGCACACUCUCGAAAGACACCUUCGGCUUCCGUUCUAGCCAUAGUGACUACCCUGAGUUUAUUGAGGGGCUCGUCUUUGGCUGCUCGCAUGAUAGCCAACUAGUUGUACCUAGCCAUGGUUAUCCAUCAGGAAUAAUUUCAUUAGGUUUGUUCAGGGAAUCAUUUGCAAUGCAACUCAUUAAUCAUGGUAGUCAGGGUCGCUUCUCAUACUGUCUUCCCUUGAGAGGUUCAACAAGUAUGAGCUUUUUACGAUUCGGAGAUGACAUUGUGCAAAGAGGUCCAGUCCAAACCACACCUAUAGAACCAAGCCAAGGUGUGUGCUUCUACUAUAUUAUCUUAAAUGACAUCAGUGUUGGUACCAAACGACUUGGAUUUGAGCCAGGAAUGUUUGCCCGAAAGCCGAAUGGGUCAGGCGGGUUCAUUGUGGACUCUGGGGCAGCAGUCUCUCGAUUGAUAACCCCAGCUUUCGAAAGGGUGAAGAAAGUUCUUAGGGCUUAUUUCCGCCAUAGGAAUUUUGUUGAAGUGGACCCAACAAAAUAUGGAAUCUCACUUAAACUUUGUUGGCUUUUCCAGCCACAUUAUCAGAGCUUAAUGCCAAGUAUGACAUUUCAUUUGCAAGGGGCCGAGAUGAGUAUACCAUGGCAGAGCUUGUUCCACAUUGUUCAACAGAAGGGAAUAUUUUGCUUUGCAAUGCUGCCGCUGGAGACUUUGACAAUUCUUGGGGCGUACCAGCAAACAAAUACUCGAUUUACUUUUGAUGUGUUGCAAUUACAGCUAGCCUUCAAUCCAGAAAAUUGUGAACAUGACUCCCAACCUUAAAAGAGAAAAAUAAGAGGAUAAAUACUAAAAUAAUGUGCCUAUGUGCUUGUUUUUCUUCCCUAAUAGUAUUUAUCUAAACUUUAUCCAAAGGAAGACCUUUUCUGGAGAAUAAAUUUUUAACAAAAACUAUUCAUAUCAUGAGAUCAUUGAAUCCAUAAUUCAUACUGUGUUGAUAUUUGUGCAUUUUAUAUGAUGGAUGGUGGAUCUAGUGGUCCACAAUCGAAAGAAUAUUAUGCAACCAAAGUGAAUAUUCCUAAUCUUAUGGGACUCUUAUUAAAAAUAAACUCUUGAGAUUAUUGGAAAUAUGACAUCUGACUGUUACCAGGAAUUAUCAACAUCACUUCAUCUUUGGCACUUAUCUUUCAUAUUGUGCUUUUUGAUAAAAUCCAUGAUUUUGAUUAGCCUCUUUUAGAGAAGCAUGCUUUCUUUGCCAAAUCUUUUCAAUGGACAAUGUUGGGUUAUAAACAGUAUAGACAAUGCAAGUAGAUGUGUAGAUUGAAAUUGAUUUUUCUUUUUUGAUAAAACCUUCUCUACUGUAAAAAAACAUAAUACGACAACAUAAGUAAAUCCUGUUACGGCGGUGGGCCUCCAACAAAUACGUUCUAUAUACUUGUUAUGGUAUAUAGAAAUCUCUACAAAAAGUAAAAUAGAAAAGAUAAGAGAAGAAGAAGACAAAUCAAAGAAUCUGGUAUGUUGUUGUGGAAGCAAAGCAAAACUAACAAUUAAUAUUGAAGAAAAGUCACCAGGAUGCGUCCAUACAACUUGCAAAAAUUAAUUAGCGCCCGGCUCGGCUUCAACUUAAUUAAUACCGGCUUCACUAACCAAAUAAUCCCGGCCUAUCUAUUUAUAACUAAUUACAUAGUAUCCUACUCUGAUUUGAUUUCAUCUUAACCAUAAUUUAAAUAACCGAAUAUAAUAAUUGAUAAGAUCAAAUAAUCUAAUCCUAAUCUCAUUAGCAUUAUCUCUAACACUCCCCCAUAAUGCUAAUGUUCUUCGCACCGAUCUUCUCUCGGCAAAAUAUGAAUUUCUCCAAUAGUAGCGGCUUUGUGAAAAUAUCGGCCAUCUGCUCCUCGGUUGCGUAGCGUAUCAACUCGAACCCUUCUCGUACUUUUUCGAUCAUCAACUUAACCUCUCCAAUCACUAUUAAAACAAUAAAAAUAAAAAUCGUUAGGGUUAGUAUACCACAACCGGUGGCUUCUUGUUUCUUUCAAAUCUCUCAAUAUCCUUUUCGUCUUAUAUAUCCACAUACACUACAAAAGAAUUAGGUUAUAGGGACACAUGUUUGGGACACUUUUAUGUAAGUGUCCUUUUAUGCCAAAACUUUAAAAAAAAAAAAUCUACUAAUGCCUAAAUAUAAAGCAUAAUCAAACCAAAAAUAAAAGGUUACUUUACUCAACCCACCCCACCCAGCCCAUUCAGCCCGAUUACAAAAAAAAAAGAAAAAAAAAAAAAAAUCGAUUACCAUCUUCCAUUCUCUCCUCACUCAAUCCACUGAAAUCCUAGACGAAGAGCCGUUCCCUCUCGUCCUGCUCCGCCACCGCAGCCAACAAAGUAGAGUUCUAGCGGUUGCUAAAUGUUUAAAUAAGUGUUGAUAAAUUAGUAACACACUUUUUAGGUUAUAGCGACACUCAUUAACUGUCACUAUAUACAUAGCGACCCCACAUAUAGCAAUACUUUUUAAAAGUAUCGGUAAUUUAGCAAGCAUCACUUCUUUUGACCUGUACCGAUAUUUAAAAGUGUCGCGAUGGACCGUUUUUGUUGUAGUGAUAAAUCCAAUAACUUCUGUAUCUAUAGGCGAUUUAACAAACUCAUAGAUAUUAUUUUUUCUUAAUGGCGCAUUUUCUUUAUUCGUCGCCUUACACCAAUCAUUAGAUUCUCUCACCUUUUCGAAGUUUUGCGAUUCUCCACAUUGUGAAUACAUGCACUGUUCGUAUAUUUCACUAAGUGAUCUUACUUUUCUUGGCGUCGUCUCUGGAGAAGUUUCUGGUGAAAUUCGCGGUAAAGCUUGUGGUGUUGUUUCCGUGCUUGUCGUAGUUCCACCGUUGUUUCUAUUCUCAGUUGCAGUUUUAUUUUCGAAUAUUGGAAGUGGAUUAUCCUGUACUUUUGUGCUCCAAUCCUAAGCUUUUUGUUCAUCAAAUAUAGCAUCACGACUUAUAAUUAAAGAGUUAGUAGCAGGAUUAUAAAAUCGAUAGGCUUUACUUCUUUUGCUAUAUCCAACAAAAAUACACUUCUGACUAUUAUCAUCCAAUUUUUGCCUAUUUUGUGAUAGGAUAUGAACAAAAGAAACCGAUCAAAAAAUUUUAAAGUGUUUUACCUUCGGUUUCCAGCCGGUUUAUGCUUCAUAAGGUGUAAUAUUCUCCAGCACUAAAAUUGGACUUCUUUUGAGAAUGUAUGUUGUAGUAGAUACCGCUUCUGCCCAAAAUUUGUUUGGGAGCUUUUUCGCUUUCAACAUGCUUUUUGCCAUCUCGACUAAACUUUGAUUUUUGCGCUUUGCAACACUGUUCUGCUGAGGUGUGUGGUUGUCAACUACCUGUGAAUAUCAUUAGCCUUACAAAAAUUUUCAAACUUGUUAGAAAUAAAUUCUCCCCCUCGAUCUGUACGGAGGAUCCUAAUAUAAUAACCGGAUUCGUUCUCGACCAAAUUUUUAAAUUUCUGAAAAGCAUCAAAAGCUUCGGAUUUAUUUUUGAUAAAACAAACCCAAGUCAUCCGUGUUACUUUAUAUACAUAUUUCUUUGUACAGGAGAUUAUGCAUUCCUUAUAUUAGUGUAUACUAUAUUAGUUUUCUUACCAAUUCACAACUCACCAUGUAUUAGCUUGAUCUCUGUUUAUAUAAAGAGGUCUUUUGUAAUUUAUUAAAUCAGAAAGAAAUAUAUUUUCUUCUCCAAUUAUUCUUUGUUUCAUGGUAUCAGAGCGCGACUAGCUUAAUACGCAAAAGCUCGUCGUCACAAGAUCGCCGUCGGUAUCUCUCGACCUAAUUCUGUCAUGACAUCCGCACCUCCAUCGAUGCCGCCUGUACAGGUUCCUACACCGACACCUCCAUCAGUGUCGCCUGUACAGGUUCCUGCAUCGACUAUUGCCCAGCUCGAUGUUAAACUCUCCGGGCCUAAUUAUCGUGAAUGGUCGGUGUCCAUUCAACUCUUGUUUGAUGCUCUCGAUCUUACUGGACAUAUUGAUGGUGCUGGUCCACCAACCGAUGAUUCCAAACUCAAGGACUGGCUCGUUGCUGAUCGACGUGCUCGUGGAAUUAUUUCUACAUCGGUAAACAUAGACAUUCGGAUGCAGCUUAUCAAUUUGUCCACCGCUCACCAGAUGUGGUCUCUUCUUCGGCAGAUGUAUGAGCAGUCUAGUUAUGCUCAAUCAUAUGCUGAGUUUCAAGAGAUCUCCAUGGCUCAUCAAGGUGAGCGUAGUAUCCAAGAGUUUUACAGUUUUAUGCAGGCUCGUUGGCGUCAACUGGCGACCAUGGAUGAACCCUUGUGUCGCACUUGCUCAGCUUGUCAGUGUACUGUCAAGCAAAAGCAGGUGCGUGAUCAACAACGAUUGUUCCAGUUUCUUAUGCGCCUACGACCUGAGUUUGAAGCAUUACGUGGCCAACUACUCCAUCGAACUCCCUUCCCUACUAUUGAUGUGGCUCUCGCGGAAUUGAUUGCUGAGGAGACACGUCUUCGAGUUUUGAGUUCCUCUUCUUCCGCAAUGCCUAACGUUCUUGCUGCUCAUGGUCCUGCAAGUCCACCUCCCGUGCCAGCGCCUACUUAUCAUCAACCGCCUUCUAGUUACAUUCCAAAUCCUGGUACUAGAAAAGACAAACGAAGCAUUCAAUGUCGUUACUGUCAUCUUUGGGGUCACUCAAUUCAAGAUUGCCGGAAAAAGAAAUGGGCAGAUCAGCAUUUACGAUCCUCUCGUAAUAUGCCUACUGUUGCAUCUGCUCCUUCUGUUCCUCCGGUCAACAACGCGUCAUCUACAGAGCAGCAACCUUCAACUAUUCAAUUGAGUCUUCCUCAACUACUGCAGAUGUUUCAGCAACACCAAUUGACUCCAUCCACUUCGUCAGGGCAGUCCUCCUCUAUCUUUUCAUCUACGCCAUCAGGUUUUGGUAUGACUGGUCCUGGAGGUACUUCGGAACAUUCCUGGAUUUUAGACUCAGGCGCAUCAUUUCAUAUGACACCACAUGCUUCUUUACUUUCUUCACCUUCUCAAUUAAAUUCACCUUCACAUAUUUUUACUGCUGAUGGUACCUCUCUUUCUGUCAAUAAUAGUGGCGUUGUUUCACCUAAAUCUGAUACUUCAGGACGCUUUACUAUUCCCUCUGUCCUACAUAUACCUCGACUCUCUCUUAACUUACUAUCUGUCAGCCAAAUUACUGAUCAUGAUUGCACAGUGACCUUUGAUUCUUCUUCUUGUCUUGUGCAGGAUCGUCGGACCGGGACUUUGAUUGGACAGGGCCAUAGACGUGACUGCCUGUACUACAUGGACUAUCUGCAUCUUCCUCCUAAAAUUAAUUCAGCAAAUAUUGCUACAACUUCAAAUUCUGAUCUCUGGCAUCGUCGUCUCGGUCAUCUUUCUUCUGAUAAGUUUACUGUUUUAGUUCGUAGUGGUGUAUUAGGUCCUGUUUUUAAUUCCGAAUCUGUUUCUUGCAUUGGAUGCAAACUUGCUAAACAUUCCAUUAAACCUUUUCCUGUUAGCAAUUCUAUUUCAAGUGCACCAUUUGAUCUUAUUCACUCUGAUGUUUGGGGACCAGCACCUAUAUCAACUCGUGUUGGAAAUAAAUAUUAUGUUAUUUUCAUUGACGAUUACUCACGCUUUACCUGGGUUUAUUUUAUGCAUAACAAAUCUGAACUUUUUCAAUUGUAUCAAAAUUUCGCUGCCAUGGUUCAAACUCAAUUUGGUGCCACUAUUAAAACUUUCCGCUCUGAUUCUGGUGGCGAGUAUCUUUCAAAUGAAUUUCGCCAACUUCUCGCUAAGCAUGGUACUUUGCCGCAACUCUCUUGUCCUUAUACUCCUCAACAGAAUGGUGUUGCUGAGCGUAAACACCGACAUAUCCUUGAAACCGCUCGAUCUCUUCUAAUUGAUGGGUCUGUGCCUAAACAAUUUUGGGCAGAUGCGGUUUCUACCGCAGUUUAUCUGAUUAAUAUUAUGCCCUCCAGUCUUUUCUCCGGCGUUUCUCCUAGUGAGCGAUUGUAUGCUAAAUCACCAUCUUAUACUCAUUUGCGUGUUUUUGGAUGUACUUGUCUUGUUCUUUUGCCUCCGCAUGAACGAACCAAAUUAACUCCAAAAUCGUCAAUUUGUGUUUUCUUAGGAUAUAGUCUUGAGCAUAAAGGGUACAGAUGUUAUGAUCCUACUGCUCGCCGCAUGCGAAUUUCUCGAGAUGUCAUUUUUCUUGAACAUGUAUCAUAUUAUGCUCAAUCUAAGUUAAGCGUUGAUACUUCUGCCGUUUCUUCACCUUCUGUUAUUGAUCUUUCAUUUCUUGUUAAUUCUUCGUCGACCACCACAUCUUCUCCCGAAGAGCCCCAACGAAUUGUCGCUCAGCCCACUGAAUCUUCGUCUUCUGCAGAAGUUUCUAUAGUACCGGCACCACAUGACGACCCACCAAUUACUGUUCCUUCCGACGAUCAAACGACUGCUGAGCGCCGCUAUCCACUGCGUACUCGCCGCCCCACACAAUUUUUUGGUUGUCUUGCCUCUCCUUCUUUUUCUCCACGAUAUCAUGCUUUCUUUGCAGCCAUUUCUAAUAUCCAGGAACCCCGUACAUAUCGCCAGGCCGUUUCCAUUCCUGAAUGGCGAGAUGCAAUGACCACAGAACUUACUGCCCUUCAUCGUACUGGUACUUGGGAACUAGUUCCUCUCCCGCCGGGCAAGACUCCAAUAAGUUGUAAGUGGAUUUAUAAAGUCAAGACAAAUUCUGAUGGCUCAAUUGAUCGCUAUAAAGCCCGUUUAGUUGCUCGAGGGUUCUCUCAAGAAUAUGGCAUUGAUUAUGAGGAGACAUUCGCCCCUGUUGCUAAGAUGACCUCUGUUCGCAUCCUUAUUGCUCUUGCUGCCUCUCGUAGCUGGCCUCUUUAUCAACUUGAUGUCAAAAAUGCCUUCUUACAUGGGGAUCUUCAUGAAGAAGUUUAUAUGCAACCACCUCCUGGUCUUUCCCAUUCAUCCGGUCAUGUUUGCCGGCUACGGAAGGCUUUAUAUGGCCUUAAACAAGCUCCCCGAGCUUGGUUUGAAAAAUUUCAGUCUGCUAUUCUUUCCUUUGGAUUUCAUCAAAGCGAAAAUGAUCAUGCCUUAUUUAUUCAUACAUCUUCUCGCGGGCUCACUGCCUUACUUUUGUAUGUUGAUGAUAUGAUAAUUACUGGUGAUGAUCCUGAUUAUAUUCGUUCCGUUAAAUCCUAUCUUCAGCAACAAUUUGACAUGAAGGAUCUUGGUCCUCUUCGAUAUUUUUUGGGGAUUGAAGUGGCAUAUAGUCCUCGAGGAUAUAUAUUGUCUCAACAAAAAUACACUGCCGACUUGCUAUCUCGUGCUGAGCUCACUGAUACUGACACUGUGAGUACUCCUAUGCAGCUCCACCAAAAACUAACUCCAACUAUGGGCGAACCUCUCACUAAUCCUACACGUUAUCGUGAGCUAGUUGGUGCAUUAGUCUAUCUCACUAUAUCUCGCCCCGACAUUGCUUAUGCGGUUCAUAUUGUUAGUCAAUUUAUGCAGGCGCCUACUUCUGUUCACUAUGCUGCUCUUUUACGCAUCUUGCGCUAUUUACGAGGAAGUAUUCAUCAAAGUCUAUUCUUUUCUUCCUCUUCCAAGCCUCAACUUCGUGCAUAUUGUGAUGCUGAUUGGGCUGGAGAUCCUACUGAUCGUCGAUCUACGACUGGCUAUUGCGUUUUCUUUGGGGAUUCUCUGAUUUCUUGGCGUUCAAAGAAACAAGAUAGUGUCGCAAAAUCUAGUACGGAAGCUGAAUAUCGUGCUAUGUCCUCUGCAGCCUCAGAAAUUGUAUGGCUUCGCCGACUCCUUGGUGACCUCGGUGUCCAGUGCUCUAGUCCAACACCUUUAUAUUGUGACAAUCAAAGUGCUAUCAAAAUUGCGAAUAAUCCUGUCUUUCAUGAACGUACUAAACAUAUCGAAAUUGAUUGUCACUUUGUGCGCCAUCAUUACAUUAAUGGAACGAUAUCUCUGCCGUUCGUUCCCUCUGCUCAACAACUUGCUGAUUUUUUCACCAAAUCUCAGACUACUCAACGACAUCAGUACCUUCUAUCCAAACUCUCCGUGUUUACUCCACCUUGAGUUUGCGGGGGGGUGUUACUUUAUAUACAUAUUUCUUUGUACAGGAGAUUAUGCAUUCCUUAUAUUAGUGUAUACUAUAUUAGUUUUCUUACCAAUUCACAACUCACCAUGUAUUAGCUUGAUCUCUGUUUAUAUAAAGAGGUCUUUUGUAAUUUAUUAAAUCAGAAAGAAAUAUAUUUUCUUCUCCAAUUAUUCUUUGUUUCAAUCCGGCUAUAAUCAUCCACGAAAACUACAAAAUAGUAAUUGUUGCUGAGUGGCGGUGUCUGCAUUGGUCCACAUACAUCUGCUUUAUCAAUUCUAAUGGUCCUUUGGCUCUCCAAUUGCUCUUUCUCGGAAAAGAGUCCCUGUGUGUCACGCCCCGAGGUCCUUUUUUUUUGGUUUAAAAGUAAAGCGGAAGUGCCCAAAUUUUUUUUUUGAAAAUCCUGACCUCCAGGGUAUGCCAGAGCCACCACAAAUAUAGAGAGUCCACUGUUCACACGGACAGAGUCUCCCCUGUAUUUGCACGGCAUCGCAGAAGUACAAAAUACAACCACAAUCGUAUACAUUCACCAUUCACAUAUACAUUCAUUUCAUUACAAAUAUCCAUAAAUCCACAUCUAUCAGUUUCAAAUAUUUCCCACACGGAAACUCAUUUUGAAGCACUAAGAGUCAUGAAAGCCAAUAAAACCUUUUCAAAAUCGUUUCCCACACGAAAAUAUUUUUUCUUUAAACCAUGCUACCACGAGGGGUAGAAAACCGUUUUCAUCUCAAAGAAAACUAUAAGUUCUUUAAUUCAUUUACCAAAAUCACAUUUAUCCAAGUAAACAAAAACCAACUGAACCAAUAUGUCUAAGUUAUUUAUUUUGAGUAAGAAAGGAUAGAAACUAGACCGAAUGUCACCGGGCCGGAAACUCUAUCGAUCGCUACGAACGUGUCUCACGCCUUGUCUCAACCCUCACCGCCCACGAUACCUGAAAAAUAGUGGGGGAGGUGAGAACAUGUAAACAUGUUUCCCUUCCCAGUGGGUACCGCAAGCCGACGAAGGCGAGGAGUACUCACCGGAUCAGGAAGAGAUAAAUGAUUGAGAAGAUAUAACGACUAUAGUAGCAAUAAAACUGAAAGGAAGGCGAACAAUACUAGAACAUAUAACUACCGCUACUGUAAAUAGAACAGAAUGCAUACAUGGAUGUUAUAACUACAGCAGCAAUGAUGUAUGGGUAAACAACAAUAUAUAGGAAUAUGACUAAUUGCUACUGUAAUAAAGAACAAAGUAUAAUUAUGUAUCAACCGGACGAUCAGUCCUAAAAAUACCCAAUCAGAAACCUGGCAUGACGGUCCGCAAACCUUAAGCCUAUGCCACUGCCACUCUACCUGUAUAUAACCCAGUUCUGACCGCUGUGCGCACGGGCUGCAUAUAACCCAGUUCUGACCGCUGGGCUCACGGGCUGGCACAUCCAAUCAAUUUUUCGGAAAAAAACAUCUAGCUGGGGUGGAUCAGACCGCUGGUGUUCGUGAAAUGCGAACGAGUAUGUGGCAAUCGAAUGCUGAUAUGCUCAAAAACCAACCAUUGGCAACUAGCCAACAAUCACUGCCCGCUCGGGGCACACCAACCAAUAGGUCAUCGAACCAUAAGGAAUACAAGUACCGACCACUUAGGUCAACUAGGAUGGAACAACUCAACAUCCUUCCGAAGGUAUGCAAGUAUCGACUACUCAAUGUCAACUAACAGAUAUGCACACGAACCGACAAAUAGGUCAUAAUACAGAAUACAUGAAACCGACCGACUAGGUCACAAGGAUGUCAAAUCACGAAUCAAUGUAAUCUAUAAUCAUCCGUCGGCAAUCAAUCGACAAUCCUACCCCUCAGGGUACACCGACCAUAUAGGUCAUCAAAUAGUCCAACCGACCAAGUAGGUCACAAUAACAAAUGCAGUAAACCGACCGAAUAGGUCACAGACACGGAAUACCAAAACCGACCAACUAGGUCAUUGAUCUCACCUGAAAUCAUAAAUCCGCUCUACUCCUACUCAUGAUACUAGAUAUGAAAAACAACCGAGUAGAGUAUAGCCAGAACAACAUGGGUGCUAGGCUCAACACUAUAUAUAAAGAUAUAUAUGCAAGAUAACAAUAAGAGAACAAGGGUAAGAAGAUAUCACCGAGUGUGCAUCACUGUACCGACUUCGGAUCGAUGUACCCACCUGUAUGAACAACGUGCCUGUUUCCCGACUGUGGAAGAUUAUUAACCGGGCCUACGGAGGGUCCACCAGGUUAGUAUCUAACCCACAAACAAGAAACACUAAACGCACAAACCCACAAUUAAACCCACGGGAAUUGGUUUCCCCCAAAACCGAUUACCGUAACAUGCCGGAAGUCCCGAAAAUCGCAUCGGACUCCGCCGGGACCCACGAACUGUCCCGAAAUUCAUCGACUCAUGCUACGAGUCACCCGCUGCCACUAAACACCAUUAUUCAUCAGACUUGGCAGCAAACACACCGCCUCAAAUCGAAGCGAUUAUCGUCGGAUAAUCGUUCCGAUCCGGGUUCCCGUAAGUGUCAAUUUCGACACCGGAACCCACCGUCGCUCACCCGCCCUUCCCGAACCCUCGAAACAACACGGGUGACCAGCCAACAUGGCUCAACGACAUAACAAUAGCUCACAAGGCACCGUCGGAAGAAUUCCGAACCGAAAACGCGUUUCGUCGGCGGAUUUUGCCGACAAACGCACCGGGAAUCAAUUUUCGAUCUCUGCAAGGGCCUGGGGCCUUGGACAAUCAGUACAGAGGUUACCCUCUGCCCGCACAUGCUGCCAACAGCAACCCCAAAGUGUACAAUUGCGUAAAAACCCUCCCGAUUCCAUAAAAUCACAUUAUUUAAUGUGAUUUCCGGGCUUUUAUGGCCCGCUAGCGCAAACCGAGGGUCAUUCAGCCAAGUCGAGACACCCGCUGACAGGUCUCGGCGUGCUGGAGGUUGUGCUCACUCUUCGGAGCACUGCGGGCCACUGUGGCAAGCACACGAAUGAUGCGAACUUCAGUGAAACAGCGCACACAGCUACUUAAUCACAUCAAUCACGCAAACCGGGGCACCUCUGACCCUAACGGAGGUGAGCACGAUGUUCAGCACGAUGCAGGGAUCAUCGUGCUCACUUUUGAGAUUAUAGAGGUGUCUUCCGAUCAUCGGAAAGUUGACCGAAAAUCCUAAAUAGUGUGCUGGUACAUAAAUAGGGCUUACUGGACCAGUGGGAGCAUAGGUUUGUCGCCGGCGGCCGGACGGCGAGCGCUCCGGCAGGGGACGGGUGCGGCCAGUCAGUAGGGGCCGAGGUACCUGCUGGCCGGCGGCGGGAGGCAGCUGGUGGCGUGGUGGAGGAGAUCAAACCCGAGAGCUUGAUCUCGGGUUCACUCGCGACGGCGGCCGGGCGGCGGCUGGGGGAGCUCCGGGGCGGCGGCUGGGGGAUCUUGAUCAAAUAAUUCAAAUAAUGCAUCAUACCAUAUCCUCAUGGGCAACGCCGCCGCGCGGCUCGCCGGUGGCCAAUGGGGCCAAUUUCGGGGGUUAUGGCGAGGUAUGGGCUCCAUUGGGGAUCGAAAUCUUCUCGUUACCAAUUCGUCGCUCGAAUUAGGGUUUUUGUAUUGAUAUGACAUUAGCAGUGGAAAUUUUUGAUGAUUGGAGUGGUGACUAGUGGAUUAUGUUUUCGAGUUGUUAAAAUGAGGUUUGUAAUGUUUUGUUGCGAGAACGAAAGUAGAUGUUAUCAUUUUUCCAAUAUGCGGAGUCUAUUCAAGGUAUUAGUCUCUUAGAACAACAAAACAAAACAGCAAAUUUUGGUACAUCUACAUAUGAGAUCAGAUUUGGACAUAGCUGCAUGCUAGGCAAAUUUCACUUGCUUCCUUUCUAUAUAAAUUAACAAGCUUUGACCCUUUUUUUUGAGAAAUUAAUUAAGAUCUCAUUUUUCAAUCCGAUUCAUGUUAUCUUUAAGAAAAUUAUUGUGAUUUCUUAGUAAACUUAUGUAUUGUAUAUUAUGCGAUUGCAUCACAGUUCAUCUAGGAUUGCAUCGAAGUGGUCUAAACUUGCUUGUGUCAAUCAAUUAUUGAAAAAAAUCUCUUUAUUUUUUGACACAAUUUGGAUAAUGUUUUCAUGUGUUGUUCUAGUUCAUAAUACAUUUUUCUACAGUUGUUUGAUUUAAUUUUGCUAUAUUUUAACAGGUGCGGAAUUACACUCCUAUUCCAACAAUCAACAAUAGCAUCAAAGUCAAUCGGCCAGUGAGUUUGAUUCAUAUAUAGGUACCUCACUGUUGAGAGAAACAAAAGAGCUUAUUCGCUAAUCAACUACAUAUAUGCUGUAUCGUAUUCUAUACCAGUGAAGGUUUCUGAUGCUUCUAGUUCUUAUCAUGAUAUGGAUGUACUACUCAUUUUUCUAGUUCUUUCUAUAUAUCUUGAUCUGCCUAUUAAGGUAAUUUUUUUAACAACUUCUAUAUAGUAUUUUUUUAAUUUGAAUCAAUCCUUAUUUCAGCUUCUUAGAGAUAGUUUUGAUGAGGAUGUUGAUCUUAGAGUUAGUUUAAUCUCAAUUUUUGAAUUUUUUUGGUAACGUUUUUGAGUUAGAUAUUGCCUUCGAACUCUAACCGGUAACUCUAGACAUUUCAUUCUUCGAACUCCAACUAAUAUUAUGUUGUUGCCUUGUAGGAUUUGCACGAGAUAUUAACCAAGCUGAGAGACGAAGAUGACUACUGCCUUUAUUCUGGAUGCCAGGUAAAUAGAGUGCUUCAAAAUGUCUUUAGCUUCAAUAGAAUAAUUUUUUCUUAUGAUUUUUUUUUUUUUGGAGAGAAAGGUAGCAUGCUACCCGCUUCAUUUAUUUCAUUUAAAAAUAAACUUAGCUGGAAAUGUGAAUCAACUAGUAUUCAAUUUCCCAAUCUUUCUACUAGCUGUCAAUCCUAUUCUUGACUUCAAAUUGGUAAUUCUUAUUAAUAGUGUUAUCAUCUCUUAUAAAUAUUAUGUGAUUUACUGCAACUUUUUUUACACACCUAUUCAAUCAUGAAAAUAAACAUAUGCUUACUGAUACCACUGAUUGCAAAAGAUAUUAUUCUGGAAACAGAUUCUUUGAGGCUUUGUAAUCAAUCUGAGCAAGUUUUCAAAGUGGAACAAAGAGUUUUAAGCAUUUAUAAUUUGAGGCUUUUCCGAUAUUAUAGAUGUUUAAUGUCAUUUAGAAUUUGUUAUUUUUUGGCUAAAUUUUGAACAAGUAUUUUAUUGUUAGAACACGUGUCCAAAAUUUAAUUUAGAUGCUGAGAUUGUAAUUUGAGAGUACAAAUUAUUUGUUAUACAAAUUAUUAAUGUUCUUUUGUUAUUACUAUUUUUUAAUAUUUCAAUUCAUUGGAGUGUUUAGUUGUGGAUCAAGUAUUUUAAUAUUAAUUGUAAUUGCCGCUAUAAGUUUCAUUUAUCAAUCAUUUAGUAUGUUUUUUAUGGCAAUUAUAAUUAAUUAUAGUGGCAUUUAUAAUAGUUGCUAUUAUAUAGUAUUUAGCAGCAUUUAUUUGGACUUUUACCAACCGCCAAAACAAAUGCCACUAUAAUUUUUAUCAACCCUACCAAUAGUGAUAAUUGUCAUAAUUGCGAGGAAACUAUUUAGCAGCAAUUAUAAUUGCCGAGAAUUUAAAAAUUAAUCGCCACUAAAACUAUUUAGCGGCAUUGAAAAAAAUACUUUGAAUUAAAUUUAGUGUUCUUAAUUAAUUAGGUUCUAAAUGUUUUUACCAAUCGCUGCAACUACUUUUUUGUAACUCCAGCAAAUUUAAUUCUAGCCUCCAAAACUAAUUAACUCUUUAUAUUUUAGAGAAGUCAUUAUGUAGUGGAUUACCUAUUGAAUCCACNGAGAAAUUGAGUUUCUCAAUUUCUCUCCAUUUUCUCUUCUCCCAUUCAUCCUAACCACCCAUCAAAUUUGAUGGACGGUUAAGAACUUAGGAGCACAAGGGCAGCUGUGCUCCUAAUAGCACAGUAGCCCUACUAUAUAUAUAUAUAUAUAUAUAUAUGUAUAAAUCUUUUCAUGUCUUCUAUGAUUUACUUCUUUGCAAAAUAUCAACCAUGGGCAAAGUUAUCCAUUCAUAUGUUAUCUUUCUUCUUUUAAUGUCCAUCCUUCUCUUUUCCUUUGAAACUAUUGUAGCACUUAAAAGAAUCUUAAGCUUUGAGCUCAUAUAUCAUCACUCUCCUCGGUCCCCAGUUUACAACCCUAACCUCACCGAUUCACAACGCUUUGAAGAGUCCCUCCGCCUUUCUGAAAAUCGAUUCCUCAAACUGAACAAUGUUGAACCAACGCCUGUUGGCCAUGAAAUAACCACUAUUCGCCCCCCUAUCAUUUACUAUCAAGCAUUGUACAUGGUUUUUGUGACAAUUGGCACUGGAAAUGGUAGCAUUGGCUACCAUUUAGACCUAGAUACAGGCAGUUAUCUUACUUGGACCCAAUGCAAGCCAUGCAUCAAUUGCUACGUGCAAAAUGAACCUUACUUCGACCCUCGCCAAUCCCCUUCCUUUGUUGAUGUAUCCUGCUCCGACCAGAACCCUUGCCCACAAAGAUAUUACCAUUGCAUCAACAACCGUUGCCACUACCAGAUCAGCUAUAUUGGUGGGUCCCGGACAAUUGGCACGCUCUCAAAAGACACCUUUGGCUUCCACUCGAGCCAUGGUGGCCACCUCGAGUUUGUUGAAGGGCUUGCCUUUGGCUGCUCACAUGAUACACAUUUAACUAGCGACCACCAUGGUUAUCCAUCAGGAGUAAUGGCAUUAGGUUUGUCCGAGGAAUCAUUUACAAGACAACUUAUCAAUCAUGGCAGCCAGGGGCGCUUUUCAUAUUGUCUUCCCCCGGUAGGUUCAAACAGUAUAAGCUUUUUACGAUUCGGAAGCAACAUUGUGCAAAGAGGGCCAGUCCAAACCACACCGAUAAUACCCAUACAAGGUGUGUGCUUCUAUUACAUUACUUUAAAUGACAUUAGUGUUGGUAACAAACGACUUGGGUUUGAGCCAGGAAUGUUCGCACGAAAGCCGAAUGGGUCGGGCGGGUUCUAUGUGGACUCCGGCUCAUUCAUCACUUACCUAAUAACUCCAGCUUUUGAACGAGUGAGGAAAGAGCUUAGAGAUUAUUUCCGCCAUAAGAAAUUGGUUGAAGUGGACCCACAGAGGUACAAGACAAAUCUUAAACUUUGUUGGCUUUUCCAACCAAGUUAUGAGAGCUUAAUGCCGAGCAUAACAUUACAUUUACAAGGGGCCCAAAUGCAUAUCAUGUGGCGAGAGUUGUUCCUCAUUGCAUGGACGAAGGGAAUAUUUUGCUUUGCAAUGUUGCCACAGGACAAUUCAAGUAUUCUCGGGGCAUACCAACAAGCAAAUACUCGAUUUACUUUUGAUGUGCUGCAAUCACAACUAGCCUUCAAUCCAGAGAAUUGUGAACAUGACUCCCAACCAUGAAAGAGAGUAGUAGGAAACUAAGACCCAAAAUAAUGUGCCCAAUAUAUAUGUUUUUCUUUUUUAAUAGUAUUUAUCUAAAGCAAUCUAAAGUAAGAUUAUUUUUAGAGAACAAAUCUUUAUAUUAAAACUAUUCAUAUGACGGGAUCAUUGAAUUUAAUAUUCACAUUAUUUGAAAUUCAUGUAUUUUAUAUGAUGAAUAGUGAUUCAAUGUCCACUAUAGGAACAAUACUAUGUGAUCAAUAUAAAGAUUCACAACCUUUCAAAGUUUUUUAUAAGGAAAAGGGACAUUCGAAACAUAAUCUAUCUGCAUGCAAGGCGCUGUUACCUUAAAAUAUCAACUUAUUAAAAGUGAUAUUAUACUGCAAGAAUAUUCCUUUUAGUAUUAGAAUGUCUUUUGAUCUAAGUAUUAAUUCACUAUGUAGUUGUUAAAUGACAAUAUUAAUACUCCUUUCCUUUUUUUGAAUUAUUCGACACAAUGCUUCAAUUAUUCAUUACAAACCUACUAGUAAUUUCUUUAACCUCUGCGCUCACUACAACAAAAUGGACAUUUAGCGGCAAUUUAAUGGCUGCAAUUAUCAAAUAGCCGUUAUUAUCUAUUUUAGACUAUACUUUUUUUACUGACUAAUAAUUUUAUACUAAAUACAUCUAUUUUGACCCCAAUACUAUUCUAAACCGAACCCGAACCUAAACUCAAACCCAACCAGCUGGGUCCAUCUCACACGAACACCCUUCACCUUCUCCCCCUUUUCCCUACCAUAGUUAGUUAAUUUGGAUUCGGCAAAAAUUCGGUACGGAUAUAAUACGCAUAAAAUUUAUUUUCUAAUUUUUAAAUUCGUUGAAAAAUUCGGCCUAAAAAACGGAUUCGGUAUAAAGUAUAAAAUAUUAGAUAUAAAAUAUAAGAUAAUUUAUAUUUAAAAAUAAAAAUUAUAAGUUUUUUAUUCAUAUUUUCAAUAAUUUGGGAAUAAUUCAGGAAUAAUUCGUGAAUAAUUUGGCUGGCCCAAAAAUUUGCGAAUAAUUCUCUUUCUUUGGAAAAAAUUCGUAAACGGACCGUUUAAUUUGGAUUUUUAAUAAUUUGCGAAUAAUUCGCAAAUAAUUCGUGAAUAAUUCGCGAAUUAACUAACUAGGUUCCCUACCUCUCUCCUAUCUCGCGUGAGCUCGAGUUCUUCCCUCUCCUUCACCACUCUUCUCUCAUCUUUCUUCCUAGGCGUCCUCUCUAAGCUCCGACCCUAUCCCCAAAUCACCGUCAGUUUCGCCCCCAACCUUCUCGGCUGCCGAUUUUCUCGACCCUGUGUGCACCGGUGCAACAUCGCUAUCGACCACCUCGAGCACUAUCCAGCGACGUCAACUUUGCCACUGCCAACAACGUCUAGGAUCUCCAAUUUUUUGAGGAGAUCUGCUACAUCAAGAACUAUCACGCCCCGGGGUCCUUUUUGAAAGCUAAUUUGAAAUCGAGCUAUCUUUAUAAAUCAGAGUCAGCGAGAAACUGCCCUUUUUUUUUUUUUAAUCUAGACCCUCAAGACGUGCAACAAACCCGCCACAAAUACAGAAAUUUUUGAAACAAAUAGAUAGAGUCUCCCCUGUAUUUGCAUGACGUAGCGCAUAGUACAAUUGAACAACCAGAUCUCUAUUCACACACACAACAAUAGGAUGUACAAGGAUCAACUCAUUUCAACAUACAGCUAGCCCUCCUUAGUCACAUCCAUUCCAUAUUCAUCCUAAUAGUUAAAAGUGUCUCCCACACGAAAACUAUUUCUUUGAAAUUUUAACUUUGUGAAAAGCAUGAAAAACUAUUUUGAAAAUUAUUUCCCACAGAGACACCUUAUUUUGAAAACACUAACACGAGGGGUAGAAAACCACAUUUCGAAAUCCGAAUCCAAAGCCAUAUGUCCAAAAAUCACGAAUAUUCUAAAACCGUAAGCAACCAAAAACUCAUAAAUACGUCAUCCAAGAAUCCGUGAAUAAAAAAUCAUCAACUGAACCAUAUAAGAACAACUACUAACAAGUAUAGAGGUUAAACUAUACUGACACAUGUAUGACUAAUGUUAAAUAUGAAGUAUAGUCAAAAUGUAUACCGAGAUCGAGACGUCUAAGACCGCCCACUAGUUAUAGCCUCAUACUGUGUCCUGACCAAUCCUACCUAUAUCACCUGUCGAGAAAUGAGGGUAAGAAACCAACAAAGGUCUCCCAGUGGGUACCGCAAGCCGACGAAGCCAAGCAUACUCACCGGUAACCAUGUAUAGGUAAAGAAAGACUUACAAUAGCAAUGUAACUAUAAAGAUAGAAGAAUUGUAAAUAAGCAUGUAACAACCGCUACUAUAGCUAUAUGCGUCAUCCAGACGAAAAGUCCAAAUGUAUCAAAUCUAUAUCGCCGUGUCGGUCUAAGGACCUCAGGCAAAAGCCACUCUCCACUCGCUCAACUUGCGAGGCCCCAGAUAGUUGUAUGUAUAAGAUAUAAUAAGGCUAAUCUCUUAACCCGGCUUAAGCAUUUUGGGCAUUGGUUAGGCUCAAGAGGUUAAGAGAGCUAAGCGUGCUAAGACGGGAGUAGUCCUAAGAUGGGUGACCCUCUGGGAAGUCAAGGCGUUACAGUUGGUAUCAGAGCCAAUUACCACCCGAAAGUGUGAGAUGAGUUGUAACAUAUCGAAACCUCGAAAGUGAUUAUCGAACUUUAGCCAAAUUGGUUAAAGUGCCGAGAAAAAUGGAUGGACAAGUCCCAUUUAGCAUUCCAACAAGAUUGGAAGGGUUAAAAAUAAGUUUAAGAGGUGUUAAAAGGGUUCUAGCAUCGACCGGCGCGAAGUAGAAUCGAAAACGGCGCAAAAUAAGUGUUCUGGGCAAAGUGUACCGGUACAACCAUCGAGUUGUCACCGGUACAGCCCUGCAGCCCGAGAAGGGAUUGCUCUCGGGUUUGAGUUUUCGCAGAAAUGUACCGGUACACUCCUGAUGUGUACCGGUACACUUUGAUAAAAUCUGAACAGUUUGCUCUCGGGUUGCCUCUGCACAGGAAAUGUACCGGUACAAAAUCCCGUGUACCGGUACACUUUGGGUCUGACAGCAAAAAGAAAACUGCUGCAAUUAUGAAAAUGGGGAGAGUUUAAAUGCAAUUAUAGCAUCGUAAUAAAACCCCAACACCCCUCCUCACUCUCUCCCACAGCCAUUCACCCAUCCCUCUCAUUCCUCUUAUUUUCUCUAUCUAGAGAGUGAAAGUUUUGGGGUGCCCAAGGAUCUAUCUAGAUUGUAUCUAACACCUAGAGGGGGGUGAAUAGGUGUAAUAGCCAAAAACCACAAAUCUCAAUGUGAUAAAAAUAAAUCCGAAAGAUAAAAAUCACACCGAGAUUUACGUGGAAAAACUCCAACUUGGAGAAAAACCCACGGGACCAACACGCGAAAAAAUAAUUCACUAAGAGAAAAGAUUACAAGGUGAUUACCGACUCCACAGACUCAACCUCUCUUAACCUCUUAAGAAUCUCGCGCAAUCCUCCGGGUUGUCCAUGCCCUCACGUUCGAAUCCACGAACGCCUUGUUUCAAAUCCACUAAACGGCUCCACUCCGAAUCCACGAAGCUCACGAUCCGAAUCCACGAACCGCCGUCAAUCACGCCGAAUCCACAACGUCGUCAUGAAGAACAUCAUGAUUAUGGUGAUCCUUUGCUUAGAGUAUCGUAGAAAACCAGAGAAGAAAACUCCAAGCGAAGCAUAAAUCAAAUCGACAUAUUGAUAUCAAAUAACAAUCUCUCGAUUUGACCUAAAAGAGGCUAUUUUGUAGAAAAUAGGUUUUAGAUGAAAUCCUAGCCUCUGGGGUUUCUCAAACAUGUAUUCUCAUGAUGCUUAGUCUAUUAGAGGACCCUAAUAGCUUAUUUAUAGACUUUAGAAUUAAUUGGAGUCGGAUUAGAAAGUUUUUUCGAAAAUUACAUUGUGUACCGGUACACUUUAAGCUGUUACCGGUUACACGAUGACGGAAGAGAAAACCUGCGUAAUGCUGUAACCGGUGACAAGUCGCUUGUUGUACCGGAAUAGAAUGUGUACUGGUACACUUCCGAUGUUGUACCGGUACACUUUGCAAAAAUCUAUUUUUGCACGGUUUCGGGUUUUGCAAAGUACUAAUGCACUUUCUAAUUUAGUAAACUUUGGUAUUAUGAUUUUAAUGCCUACAAGUAAGUAUGAAUCACCAUAACAUGAAUUAAAACCUUACCUGGGCAUCGUGAUUCACAUAGUGAGUUAAUUUCGCUUUCUUCGAAGUCUUGGAUUCUUUGAUCUUCGACGAUACGCACCAAUCCUUCAAGACUCCGACUCACUUCACGAAACUUGCCAACACAUAAGACUUAAAAGAGAGCUCUCCAAAGGGUGGAUUUGGAGGAGAUUUGAAGGAGAAGCUUGGCUUUGGUGGCUUGGAGAUGACCUAGGGCUCUUCUACAAGGUAGACAUGGAGAUAGCUUUUGGCUAAGGUGAGUUUAGGGUAAAAACUCAUCUAGGGUUUGGGUUUAUAUUCUAGAAAACUAAGUUUUGAUCUUCUAAUGGUAUAAAAAUCUAGUAAUGGCUUAGAACACAUGAAAACUCAUAUUUUCUUCCAGGACUCUAAUGGUGGAUUUUUAGGGUUUGCAUUCUAAACCCUAGAAAUGACUUGGAUGGUUCUAAAUGAACUUCUAGAGCAGGUUGGACAAGCUCUCUUUUACUUGUUUUAGAGAUCAAAACCUAGGAUUUUGCAAAUGGCAACAUUAGGGCACCCAAUUUGGGUCUUUUACCUCCGAAUGUUUUUAAGACAAAUUGAUCUUGUAGAAACCUAAUUAGGGGUAUUCCCGACGCGUGGGACAACUCCGUUUGACGUUACUAAAUGGUCUAAAUAAAGUUAUUGAGAAAAAGCCUAAUUUGGCUUCGUUUUGCCGCAGGCAAAAAAGUAGGGCUUCAAAAAUCUCAAGAAAUUCACUGUAGCAUCCCUACAACCACCGAAGGUGGGUGGUGCAUACCGAAGACCUCGAAAUUCUUUUUAUGUCUAAAGUGUCAUAUUUGAGCAUAUGUGUAUUGAGCAUAAAAUUUGCAUAGUAGGGUUAUAUGUGAGCAUUUCAUUGCAUGUUGUGAGUACAAAUGCAUGUGAGUUAUGAUCAAGAAUGUGAGAAUUUUAUAAACCCUAUGUAUGCAUGACAAGUGACACGAACUUAGUGGACUUAGUAACAAAUGUGACAUCUUAACAUAGAAGUAGAAAAUGACAUUGAUGAGUCGAGAAUGCUAGAGUUGGAACACUUAGAAAAUAAGUGUGGCAUGUGUACAAGAAUAUAGUAGUGUAUUUGACACUAGCAAAAAUAAAGAAUGCAAGUAAAGGUGUGAUAGCGACAUUAUGAUAAUUUCAACCUUAGAGUUAAGGGUCAUAUGUGCAUUGUUUUCUUAUAGUUAAGGAAUGGAUUGAACUUGACAUCCUUAUAGUUAAGGAUUAGAUCAUACUCACCUGUAAGUCCUUGCUCGAGGGUGGUAGCUCCCCCUCGGGCGAUGUGCUCCGGAGUUAUCAUCAUUGGGUGUAGUAGUCUUUCCAGAGGACGGUCCCGUCGGGUGUAGUAGUCUCCCGGAUCUUUGGGAUUUGUGUUGGUGAGUCUAUCGUGGGCGACGCCUAUGGGCUAGCCUAGAGAUUGGGUUCUGAUCAGUGACCUUGCAUUCAUCAUGAUUAUUUUAUUGAGGAUAGCAUUAUUUAUUGUUCAGACAUAUUAGCUGCAUUUGCUUUAGCUUGGUUAGUAUCUAUCCAUUCUUCUAUUAUGCCUGAUUUAGACCUAGUGGGAAAGUGUCGGUUGCCGAACCCACUGAAAACUUUGUUGUAGUUCUCACCCCAUUAUUUCCACAGAGUCGGGACCGAGCGAGCCGACGGACGACCGCGGUAAGGGCAUCGCGCCCUAGAUAGAGACCUCCCGAGUGGGUUUCCAUUUUGGUUUAGUUGCAUAACUUUAUACAUCAUCUUUUGUAUUUUGAUGACUAUAGAUGUUAAAGGGAAAAGAACAUGAAUGUUGUUAAAGAUUUUAUAUUUAAAUGCAAGAACUAUAUUUUGAGAUCAUGUGAUGUAAAAGAGAAGAAAUGACGCAAAAAAAAAAUGUAAAUAAUUUUCUAAGUGUAGUUUACUACUUUCACUAUUGGCUAUUGCUUGUCCUCGUGCAAGCCAUUGUGUAUGCUUUCGCUUAUGCAAUUUUAUACUCUAUCUGUACCUGUUGUUGAGCCUUGGGCGGACAGGGGAGGCUCUGUCCGUUCGGCGUCUGUUCGACGCUCUCGAACCGGCUAAAAGGAUCGGGCUCGGGGCGUGACAGAUAUAAUGGUAUCACAGCGUAAAGAGCCAAAAAGUGAAAGUAUAGGAUCGACCUAGAGACCCUUAGGAUUGGAAAACCUUAAGGAUCUAGGAAACGUGAGCGACGUGGAAUCAAACUAUAGCGAAAGCUUGUGAUUGGGUUAAUGUUAAUAUGUCUCUAAUGUGAUUAGGGGCUAAAUUUAAGUUGAUAUUUGUUUUCUUUUCCUUGUGUUGUGAUUGGCGGCCGACGAUAUGAUGCUUUGGAAGGAAAAUAAAUACACUUAUUGCUUUCGCCGAAUUGGGUAUAUUUGAGUGUAAUAUUGUGUAACUAAUGUGAAUUGCUUCAUUUCAGGAAGCAAUGCCACCUCGUGGACGACCUAAGUUGCCUCGUGGUCGACCGCGGACGAGGUCUAUGGCCGAGGAGCCAAGUGCGGCUCUCGUGCAACCCAGAGCAGGAGGUGACGGGGAGCUUCGGGAGCAGAUGGCCGCGCUUAUUGGCGUAGUGCGGCAACAAGCGGAGUCCGUUCAGUACAAAGGGAAGCAAAUCCAAAGGCUCCAGGAAGCCUUGGAGCGGCAGCAGGCGGCAGCGGCGGCGCUAGAAGAGGCCGUGCACCCUGCGCCUCCUGCAAUGGUGCCGAGUGCGGCCGAGGGUGUGGCCGCAGCAACUGUGCCAGUUACGGUGAUAUCGGUCAGAUCGGGGACCUCAAACCAUGAUAAUGCGGCGGAUGAGGCGGAGCGGGAGCGUGCGUUAGCAGCUUUCGUACAGUUCAACAAGUUCAACCCACCUAUCUUCGAAGGGGGAGUGGUGGAGUCGACGGUAGUGGAGUCAUGGGUUGACUCCAUGGAGACGCUUUUCGAGGACUUGCAUACCUCGGAGAAGGACAAGGUGUACCUCGCCACACAUUACCUUGAGAAGGCGGCGAAGGUGUGGUGGAAGCGUGUUAGGUGGGAUCGAUCGCCCGAUCUUCUGCCUAUGCUGUGGGAGGAGUUCCGGAGGGCGAUGUUCGCCAAUUACUUUCCCGACACGGUGAAGCGGAAGUUGCAAGAAAAAUUCCGCAAGUUGAGGCAAGGGGAUCGCUCCGUGGCGGAUUACGAGCAGGAGUUCUCCCACCUUAUCGAUUGCAUCCCGGAGGUUGUUUGCGAUGACCGGGACCAGGCCGAUUGGUUCUUGCGAGGACUUCGGUCGGGGAUUCAUAGGGCCGUUGUAACGUAUCGAACUUUAGCCAAAAUAGAUUAAAGUGCCGAGAGAAAUGGAUAGACAGACUCCAGUUGACAUUCUAACAAUGUUGGAAGGGUCAAAGUAGAGUCCCUAGAGUGUUACGCAAGUUUUAGCAUUGCUCGGCGCGAUUUAAAAGUGAAUAAUGUGAAAGAAAUAGAUGAACAAGUUCCAAUUAGCAUUCCAACGAGGUUGGAAGGGCUACAAAUGAGUUUAAGAAGUAUUAGAAAGGUUUUAGCAUCGAACUGCGCGAAACAGAAUCGAAAAUGGCGCAAAAUUGCAUUCUGGAGCAAAGUAUACCGGUACAACCAUCGAGUUGUCACUGGUACAGCAUUGCAGGCCAAGAAGGAAAAGCUCUCGGGUUUGAGAAAUUUUGCCUGUGUUUCCGGUGACACCUCUGGUGUGUACUGGUACACUUUGAAAAAACAUGCAAGAAUUGCUCUCGGGUUUGUCUCUGCGUAAUCGUGUUACCGGUGACACGCUACAGUGUACCGGUACACUUUGGGUCUGACAGCAAAAUGAAAACUGCUGCAAAUACAAAUAUUUGGAGGGUUUUGUUGUAAUUGUUAUAAUAUGUAAUAUACCCCAACACCCCUCCAACCUGGUCUAAACAACAACCACUCUCUCCCGAUCUCAUUUCCCUCUUUUUCUCUCUAGAAAACUCUCCAAGGAGCAAGGAGAGGAAGGAGAAGAAGGAUUUUUGAAGGAGUUUUGGUAGAUUUGAAGGCUCUAGAAGCUCUCCUAUAAGGAGGACUUGGGGAUAGCUUAUGGCUAAGGUGAGUUUAUGCAUGAACUCCUCUAGGGUUAGGAUUUAAACUCUAAGUUUUAGAGUUUUGAGCUUCUUAGAGGUUUUAGAAGCAUGCUAGAGCCUUGAACACCAUGAAAAAUAUGGUUUUCUUGGAACCCUCUAAUGGUGGAUUUUUAGGGCUUGCAUUUUAAACCCUAAAAAUAAUUUAGAUAGUUCUAAAUGAGCUUCUAGAUGUUGGACAAGCUCUCUUUUUCUUAUUUUAGAGAUCAAAAUCUAGGAUUGAGCAAACGGUGUUGUUAGGGCACCCAAUUUGGGGCUUUUGCCUCCAAAUAUUUCUAAGGCAAAUUGACCUUAUAGAAACCUAAUUGGGGGUAUUCCCGAUGCGUGGGACAACUCCGUUUGACGUUACGAAAAGAUUUAUAUAAAGUUAUUGAGAAAAAGCCUGAUUUGGCUUCAUUUUGCCGCAGGUGAUAAGGUAGGGCUUCAAAAAUCCCAAGAUUUGAACCGUAGCAUCCUCUCAACCAUCUAAGGUGGGUGGUGCAAUCCGAGAACCUCGAAAUUUCUUUUAUGUCUAAAGUGUCAUAUUUGAGCAUAUGUGUAUUGAGCAUAAAAAUUUCAUUGUAGGAUUAUAUUUGAGCCAUCUAGUGCAUGUUGUGAGUACAAAUGCAUGUGAGUUACUAGCAAGAAUGUAAGAAUUUUAUAAACCCUAUUUAUACAUGACAAGUGAUAAGAACUUAGUGGACUUAGUAAACAAAUGUGACAUCUUGACAUAGAAGUAGAAAGUGAUAAUGAUGAGUCGAAAAGUUAGAGUUGGAACACUUAGAAAAUAAGUGUGGUAUGUGUACAAGAACAUAGUGGUGUAUUUAACACUAGUGAAAGUAGAGAAUGCAAGUAAAAGUGUGAUAGCGACAUUAUGACAUAACAACCUUAGAGUUAAGGGUCAUAUGUGCAUUGUUUCCUUAUAGUUAAGGAAUGGAUUGAACUUGACAUCCUUAUAGUUAAGGAUUGGAUCAUACUCGCCUGUAAGUCCUUACUCGAGGGUGGUAGCUCCCCCUCGGGCGAUGUGCUCCUGAGUUAUCAUCACUGGGUGUAGUAGCCUCCCCAGAGGACGGUCCCGUCGGGUGUAGUAGCCUCCCCGAUAUUGAGAUUUGAGUUGGUGAGUUGUUGAGGGCGAAACCUAUGGGUUAGCCAAGAGAUUGAGUAAUGAGAUUGUGAUAUUGCGUUCAUCAUGAGCAUAUUAUUGAGCAUUGCAUUAUUUAUUGUUCAGGUAUAUUAGCAGCAUUUGUAUAGUUUGAUUACUAUCUAUAUCUUUUUUUUCUAUUAUGCCUGAUUUAGACCUAGUGGGAAAGUCGGUGUGGUAGGUUGCCGAACCCACUGAAAACUUUGUUGUAGUUCUCAUCCCACUAUUUCCAUAGAGCCGGGACCGAGCAAGCCGGCGGACGAUCGUGGUAAGGGCAUCGCGCCCUAGAUAGAGACCACCCGAAUUGUUUUCACAUUUCGGUUUAGUUGCACACUCUUUAGUUAUCAUCUUUUGUAUUUUGAUGAAUUUAGCAUUAUGAACAUGUUAAAUGAAUGAUGUAAAAAGGAUAUUUAUUUCAAAUGUCAAAAGUUAUAUUUUGAAGAAAUGAGAAGUAAGAAGAAAUGAUGCAAAGAUGUAACUGAUUUCCUAAGUGUAGUUCAUUACUUUCACUAUUGGCUAUUGCUUGCCCUCGUGCAAGCCAUUGUCUAUGCUUCCGCUUAUGCAAAUUUUUACUCUAUUGAUUCUUGUUGUUGAGCCAUGGGCGGACAGGGGAGGCUCUGUCCGUUCGGCGUCUGUUUGACGCUCUUGAACCGGCCAAAAGGAUCGGGCUCGGGGCGUAACAGAUAUAAUGGUAUUAGAGCCGUAAAAGCCAGAAAGGUGAAAGUUUAGCAUGGACCUAGAGACCUUUAGGAUUGGAAAGACCUUAAGGACCUAGGAAACGUGAGUGACGUUGAACAAAGUAUAGCGAAAGCUUAUGAUUGGGUUAAUAUUAAUAUGUCUCUAAUGUGGUUAGGGACUAAAUUUAAGUUGAUAUUUGUUUUCUUUUCCUUGUGUUCUGAUCGGCGGCCGACGACAUGAUGCUUGGGAAUGAAAAUAAAUACAUUUGUUGCUUUCGCUGGAUUGGGUAUAAUCGAGUAUAUUGUCUAAGUAACUGACGUGAAUUGCUUCUUUUCAGGAAGCAAUGCCACCUCGUGGACGACCUAAGUUACCUCAUGGUCGACUGCGAACGAGGUCUAUGGCCGAGGAGCCAAGUGCAGCUCCCGUGCAACCCGGAGCAGGUGGCGACAGGGAGCUUCGGGAGCAGUUGGCCGCGCUUAUUGGCGUAGUGCGGCAACAAGCGGAGUCCGUUCAGCGCCAAGGAGAGCAGAUCCAAAGGCUCCAAGAGGCGCUAGAGCGACAACAAGCGACGGCACCUGUGGAGGUCGUGCAUCCUGCGCCCCCUGCAGUAGUGCCGAGCGCGGCCGGGGGCGUGGCGGCGGCAGCCGUGCCUAUUACAGUGGUGCCGGCUGGUUCGGGGACCUCAAACCUCGAUAGUGCAGCGAAUGAGGCGGAGCGGGAGCGCGCGUUCACGGCUCUUAUUCAAUUCAAGAAGUUCAAUCCACCUAUCUUUGAAGGAGGAGUGGUGGAACCGGCGGCGGUGGAGUCAUGGAUCGACUCCAUGGAGACAUUGUUCGAGGACUUAUACACCUUGGACAAGGACAAGGUGCAGCUCGCCAUACAUUGCCUUGAGAAGGCGGCGAAGGUGUGGUGGAAGCGAGUUAGGCGGGAUCGAUCUCCCGAUCUUCCGCCUAUGCCUUGGGAGAAGUUCAAGAGAGCGGUAUUCGCGAACUACUUUCCCGACACGGUGAAGUGGAAGCUACAGGAGAAGUUCCGCAAGAUGCGACAGGGAGACCGCUCAGUGGCGGACUACAAGCAGGAGUUCUCUCACAUCAUCGACUGCAUCCCGGAUGUUGUUCGGGAUGACCGGCACCGAGCAGACUAGUUCCUACGAGGAUUGCGGCCGGGGAUUCAUAGGGCCGUGCAAAUCCUUAAGCUCACGACCUUUGCGGAGGUCUUUGAUCGGCCUUUGUGGGCGGAGCAUGGCUAUGCCCACGAACGCGAUGAGCGCGAGUCCGCAGCCGAGGCAAAGGACAACAGCAAGAAGCGGGCGGCAGGCGGUGCCUGGGGCCGGCCCAGUGCAAAGAAACCCCCUCGGUACCCCCAACAGCAAUCGAAAAAUUGGAAGCCUCCCCGGUGUGUUAUUUGUAGAGGCGAGCAUCGACCGUUAAACUGCCCACAAGGCGAAGGAAAGUGCUUCAAGAGCGGUCAAGCGGGACAUAUGAUACGGGAGUGCCCGAGAUGGGCGUCGUCUGCACCGACGGCGGCCUCAGUUCCUUCGACCUCGAGACAGCUAGCAGGGUUACCACCGGCUAUGUCUGCUGGACGCUCUUCUGCAUUGCGUCAGCCAGAGGCAUCUAGGGCACCGAGUGGGUGGGUUUUUGCCACUCAGGUGGAGGAGCCGAUUCCAGUCCCCGACGACGUCGUAGCAGGUAUUAUCUUGAUCCGAGGCACUAGUGCUAGAGCUUUAUUCGACACUGGUGCAUUGUAUUCAUUUAUAGGUGCAUCAUUUGCAAGGACGCAUGGCAUUAAGAUCGUACAUCAUUAUGACUAUUGGACGGUGAAUGCGGCCGAGCAUUCAUUCCAUAUUCACGAUGAGUGCGUGGCGUGCCCAGUGUAGAUAGGUGGUUGGGUUAUGCCGAUUGACCUGCUGGUGCUAAAUCGGAUGUGGGGUUUCGACGUGAUCUUGGGGGGCAACUGGCUUUCCAAGUAUUGUGUCGUGAUAGAUUGUGAAAGAAGGGUGAUCACAUUCCAUUAGCCUAAUCGAGAGGAGCUAGUAUAUCGGGCAUGUAAAAGCUCGCUCUUCGCGGCGACCGUAUCGGCGGCGAAGGCGAGGAAAAUAAUUAAGGGUGGAGGUGUAGCCUACUUGGCGACAAUGGUGGAAGCCCGAAGGGUGCUCCCGGAACUUAGUGGUAUUUGGGUAGCAUGCGAGUUUUCGGAUGUAUUUCCAGCGGAGUUACCGGGAUUGCCACCCGACCGGGAGAUCGAAUUCGUCAUUGAUUUGAUUCCUGGGGCGGUGCCAAUCUCGAAGGCUCCAUAUAGAAUGGCACCGGCGGAGCUAAAGGAUCUAAAGGCACAGUUGCAUGACUUGCUCGAUAAAGGCUUUGUGAGGCCGAGCGUGUCACCGUGGGGAGCUCCGGUGCUAUUUGUUAAAAAGAAAGAUGCCACACUUCGACUCUGCGUGGACUACCGCGAGUUGAAUAAAGUGAUAGUUAAGAACAUGUACUCAUUGCCGAGGAUUGAUGAUUUAUUCGAUCAGUUGCAAGGGUCGAGGGUGUAUUCAAAGAUAGACCUUCAAUCGGGGUAUCAUCAGUUGACGAUACGGCCCCAGGAUGUGCACAAAAUGGCGUACCAUACGCGGUAUGGCCACUACGAGUUCACGGUAAUGCCGUUUGGGCUUACUAAUGCCCCGGCUGCAUUCAUGGACUUAAUGAACCGAGUCUUCCGUCCGCUAUUGGACUGGUGCAUCGUGGUAUUCAUUGACGACGUAUUGGUGUAUUCUCGGAUCGAGGAAGAACACGAGGAGCACUUGAGAACCAUGUUGGAAGUGCUUCGAAAGGAGAAAUUAUAUGCCAAGUUGAAGAAAUGUGACUUUUGGCUAUCGGAGGUCACUUUCUUAGGACACGUGAUUUCGGGUGAUGGCAUUUCGGUGGAUCCGAAGAAAGUAGAGGCAAUUAAAGAUUGGCCUCGCCCGACGAGCGUAACGGAAGUCCGCAGUUUUGUUGGGCUAGCGGGCUAUUAUCGGCGGUUCGUGGAGGGGUUCGCUAAAAUAACCACUCCACUAACGCGCCUCACACAUAAAGGGGCAAAGUACAUUUGGAAUGCCGAAUGUGAGCAGAGCUUCGAGGAGCUAAAGAGAAGAUUGACCACGACCCCGGUGCUUGCUCUACCGACGCCGGGGGAGACAUUUGUGGUAUAUAGUGAUGCUUCCUAUGUUGGUCUCGGGUGUGUCUUGAUGCAAAACGGGCGGGUGAUAGCUUAUGCCUCGCGCCAAUUAAAGACAUAUGAAAAGAACUACCCGAUUCAUGACCUCGAGUUAGCGGCAGUGAUUUUUGCACUAAAGCUAUGGAGGCACUACCUAUAUGGGGAACAUUGUGAGAUUUAUACGGAUCACAAAAGCCUUAAAUACUUGUUCACCCAAAAAGAGCUAAACAUGCGACAACGGUGGUGGUUGGAGUUAUUGAAAGACUAUGAUGUCACUAUCCUAUACCACCCCGGGAAGGCGAAUGUCGUGGCUGAUGCACUUAGUAGGAAAUCGGGAGAAAAUUUGGCUUCGACAAUUACACCUCAACCGUUAUUGCAAAAAGAGAUGCAACGGCUUGGAUUGGAAGUAGUAGCACUGGGAGUGCCGGCUACACUUGCUGCGUUAGUUGUCACGCCCCGGAUGACUCGUUUUCCGGGCACGCCGACAAAUCCGCCGUAUACAAAGAAAUUUUUCCUGUAUACGAAGCGUCAAAGUACCUGUAGAAAUACAAUGCUACAAACAGUAGCAUAGAGCUGCUCAAAAAAAUAAGCUAAAUAUCUGAGUUUCAUAUACAUAGCUAGAAUCCAAAAUACAAAGCUACUCGCACUGGCGAGUUAAACAACUAUGUACAUAAACUCCAAAACAAAACUACCUGCAGUAGGGGAAAGCCUCUAGCUCUGACUGUCGGGUAGGGCUCUAGCUCGCAACGCCCUUGCCUCGAUCCUGAUCGGCAGAAGAUGCAGCAGCCGACACCUGUGGCUCUGCAAAACAUAAGUAACAACUGGGCGUGAGAACUACUGUAAAAACAAGUAGUCGUGAGAACUACUGUAAAAACAAGUAGUCCUCAGUGGGUACCGCCCAAAACAACAUCGGUCACCCACUAAGUCUACAGAAGGGAGCAAGGAUAGAAGGAAAGCAGGAAGCAUACUCUACCGCUAUCAUCCACUACACUAUCAUGCUCUACACUAACCAACUGUAGGAAAUGUCAAAUCUGACCCAAUCCAAUCGGGACUGUAAGCAUACCCGUCCCCGGGACUGUGAAUACACCCGUCCCUGCCCCGUUGCGACUAUCAGGCUCUAUCCACACUAACUGGUCCGUGGAGAGCAAGUCCAACUGGCAUGAGCGACACCAACGCGAAAGCACAAAGCCUGACUCCGGAGUGGCACUCGUGGGCGCUACCCAACCGAGUAUGCAGCGUAUCUCUGUCGAGCUCAAACAGGCUCUGAAAAGCCAAAGUCAAGUAACCGACUCAAACUGGUCUAACCACCAACAGGUAAUGUGCCCUCGGCACAAUCUGACGCCAAAAAGGCGAUACGGGUCCACCGUCAACUCUGACGGCACCCACCAGUCGGGAACAACCUGAACGAUCCUGUAAAAAUCCACUCGGCGCACCAGCACGAGCGUAAAUGUAAUCUAAACUACCUGGAGUACUCGUCUCGAAGAUACUGCGACAGUACAAUUUAAUAACGGCUCCUAGAGCUAAAUCAGGCAGUUUAAACAAGUGACAGGUCCAAAUCGCAGGUUUUCUCCUAAUUCAAUUUCCAAGUCCAACAUGUAUAACCUACUUAAUUUAUUACCACAUGCUCCAAAUUCAGAUUUGCAAUCUACAAUAUAAUCCAUGAAUUCGAGCUAGAAUAGAGUAUCCAAAGGUCGAAAAUUAUACAUGCCGACGAAUAUGAACUUAGGAGUAAAAACCGAUGUAACCCACCUCUCAAGCAACUCCUGGCAGCGAAGAAAGCGUUAAAUCCGACCAAGCUAACCUUAUCCAAAUUCAGCAAACAAGGGUCCUGAAGCUUCGUCUCGAAGUCACGAAUCCAAUGGCCCAGGUUUCGCUGAAUUCCGACGCUCCUACGCAGAGAACGGGCCAGAAUACGAAACGUCGACGCUGGAACCUGCGAAACAGCAUCUCUGAAAUCUGCUCGGCAAACAGCAGCCUAGUAAAACUAGGGUUCGACAGGGCAAACCUGCUCCAAAAAUCGCGAUCUUGGGCUCAGAAUCUUCGUCUCGAAGUCGUGAAUCUAGCACGUCAAAUUUCGUCGCGUUUCGACACUCCUACACAGAGAACUAGGUAAAACACGGCGGGUCGAUGCUGGAAUCAGCAAUCAGCACUUCAGAGUCUACUCGGCAAACAGCAACUCAGUAAAAAGGGAUUUUGACAGAGCAAACCUUCUCCAAAUCGGGCGAGUAAGAAUCCUAUGGAUUCGUCUCGAAGUCCCGGUUCCAACGAACCAAAUCUCGUCGAAAUCCGAUGCUCCUACGUCGCGUACGAGGUGAAAUACUAACAGUCGACGACAAGAUCCUGCGAAUCAGCACUUAAGCUCGAAUUGAAUGAAGCUUGAAGUAGAGAAGAAAUCCAUGGAGGAAUGAGAGAUUACCCACCUCAACCAGCGACUCCAAUUCCGGCACGGCGUCGAGAAUGACGAAAUCACACCUUCGCCCGGCCUCCUCACAAUGCUACGACGACGAACGCACGCUCGAACGGCACUGCGGCGCAACGUCGACGACGAAAACCUCCCGAGCUCGAGCUCUCCACCGUGCCCACGAGCUAACAUAAAGAGAGAGAGAGGAUAGCAACCUUAAUUAGUAGCACCUGCCACCUUAUCCUAAUUAAGGCGGUGGGAUAAGGUUGAAAGGUGACAAUUAUCCAAAAGCCCCUCACCUAUUACGAUAUUCAACUUUAGUCCUCUACUUUGAAACUUGAGUUUUAAAGUCUGUUUUUUUUACAUCUAUUCUGCACAAAACGUCUCGAGCUCAAUCAAGCAUAACUUAUACUAUAACCUUACUAAUUUGCUAAGGUUUAGUAUCUCAGAUUAGUGGUGCAACCGACCUUAUUGGAGAGGAUAAAAGAGCUACAAGCUUCCGAUGAGUAUCUCCAAAAGGUGCGCGGUGAAGUUGAGAGCAAUAGUGCCGAGACUUUGGCAUUGAGACCGACGGCACACUUUGAUUUCGGAAUCGUUGGUGUGUACCUAAGAACAAGGACAUCCGCAAGGCGAUUAUGCAAGAAGCGCAUCAAACUCCUUAUAGUAUCCACCCCGGCGGCACCAAGAUGUACCAAGAUUUGAAAUUGCAUUAUUGGUGGUCGGGCAUGAAGAAAGACAUUGGGGAGUUUGUUGCGCAAUGUCUUACUUGCUAACAAGUAAAAGCAGAGCGGCGGUUUCCUGUGGGAAAAUUACAAAGCCUACCUAUAAAAGCUGAAAAGUUCAAGAAAGAUUUUGCUACCCUUAAAAUAUGUAGAUUUUCUAAAUCAAUUUGCGAGCUUCACUGUCACUACUAGAAAAUUAGUUAUUAGUGGUUUUUAUUUACGCUGCUAAAAGAUUAACGAAUAUUGCUAAAAGUAUAUAUGACACCAAAUAUUGCCUAUAUCAAUGUUGCUAAAAGUAUUAGUAACAUUUAUAAUGAAUGCCACAAGUAUAAAUCAAUUGGUGUUAUUAGGAACAUGCCGCUAAAAUGAUUUUUUUUUUUUUUUUUGAGAGAGAUAGGUAGCACGCUACCUGCUUCGUUUAUUUCAUUUAGAAAUAAACUUAGCUAGAAAUGUGAAUCAACUAGGAUUCGAACCUGAGUCUCGAGUACCAACCAUCAAACCCUUUGUCACUUGCUCUAGGGACGGUCGGUUGCUAAAAUGCUUGUUAAAUGUUAAUUUUAAGUUGUUUAUUAGUGGCGCAAGAAUAUAAUGCCACUAAUACAAAUACCUGAUUUUAUGGACUUAAAUUUUAAAAUUUUUAUUUUUGUAUUCAAUUUUAAAAUUAAAAUUAAAAUUUAUAUUUAUAUUUGAAUUUAUUAUUUUUUAGAUAAAGGUAGCAUGCUACAUGUUUUUUUUAUUUCUUUUAGAAAUGAACUUAACGGGAUAUGUGAAUCAACAAGUAUUCGAACUUGAGGCCUCAAGUACAAACCAACAAUCCUUUUGUCACUUGCGCUAGAGACAAUCAAUUAUAUAUAUUUGAAUUUUUAAGUUUUAAAUUUAAGAUUAUAAUUUCAAGUUUUUAAAAUUCAAAUUCUAAAAUAUUAAACUUUAAUUCAAAAUUUUAAAUUCUAAGUAUAAAAUGGGAUAUAUUAAUAAUUAUAUAUUGAUUAGUGAAGGCAUUUAGCAAUAAGUGUUACUCUUUUGUUACAUUUAGUACCAUUUUUUAUAAAAUACUUGAAACUUUAGCGGCAUUUACUAAUUUACGCUACCAAUUUAUUCUAUUUUACAACAUUAUCAAGUAAUGCUAUUAAAUAUAUUAAUUAGUAUUCUUUAAAUAAAUGCUACAGAGUAAAUACCGCUAAAUUAUAAAUUUGUUGUAGUUUAUAUAUAAUAAGACUAUCUUUAAUUCAAAACUGCAAGCAAGAAGAUUUCCCCAGUUUUUUUUUAUUAUUUUGGUAGCAAAAUCAAGUUACAAAUAGCAGCCAAACACCUUUUGAACUACUUAUGUGCUCCCUAAUAAAGAAAUUCUUUUAUCAUAAACAAUAUCUUUUGACAUCCAAGCACUACAACAAAAACGGUCUAUAGCGACAUUUUUAAAUAUAGGUACAUGUCAAAAAAGUGCUGCUAGCUAAAAUUACCAACACUUUUAAAAAGUGUUGCUAUAUAUGGGGUCGCUAAGUAUAUACUAACAGUUAAAGAGCGUCGCUAUAACCUAAAAGAGUGCUGCUAAUUUACCAACACUUAUUUAAGCAUUUAGCAACUGCCGAAACUCUAUCUCGUUGGCUGCGGUGGCGGAGGAGGACGACAGUAAAGACUCUUCGUCUAGAAUUUCAGUGGAUUAAGUGAAGAGAGAAGAAAAGAUGGUAAUUGAUUUUUCUUUUUUUUUUUUCUUUUCUGUUUGUAAUCGGGCCAAAUGGACUGGGUGUGGUGGGUUGAGUAGAGUAAUUUUUUAUUUUUGAUUGGAUUGGGCUUUAUAUUUAGGCAUUAGUAGAUGUGUUUUUAAGUUUUAGCAUAAAUGGGACACUUACUCAAAAGUAUCCCAAACAUAUGUCCCUAUAACCUAAUUCUGUUGUAGUGAAGUGAUCAUACUCAGUUUUACAUAGUAGUGAGACGACAUUAUUGGGACAUUAUAAAAGUGUGAUAUUUGUUAGA